UGGUGUGAGGAGUAAUCAACGACGGCUGAAUGCUGGUUUUUCAUUUUUUAACAACAAAUGAAUAUGAGAGGGAGAGAAGUUGGAACCAUCAAACAAGGGGGUUUGUUGAGAAGGGAAAUUUCAGGGAAGGAAGUUGGAUUUGUGAAGAUAGCUCAACCAUGACUUUCCCUUACAAUAAUUUGGUAGCCAUUGAGCUUCAACGAGCCUACUAGAAGCAGCUUGUCACUUGAGUCUGUGCAUAAUAACAUUCUUGUAUGUGUAUUUUGUUGGGGUGAUACUUUUAUAUAUAAGAUGGUUGCAUGGACUAGUAGUUUGUAAAAAUGUUUCGUAAUGGAAUGUUGGGCUGAGUAAAGUAGGUUCAGAAUGUAUGUGGUUGUAGAUU